GUUUUGUUCUCCUCUCCAACCGGUGUGAGAUCUCACGAGGUCUUAUUCAGAGUUUGUGCACGACUCUUGCCUUCGCCAGUCUCUUGUAAGAUCCAGUGUUGCCGCAAGCUCAAUGUGCAAUUGCUGCUGACAAAAGGUACAAACUUGUACAAAAUUUACCCACAAAUAAUUGAAUUUUAUACGUCAUCUUGCGUGUAUUUAUUUCUUUUACCCUCAACGAGAAGAUUAUUUUGUUUGAUUCACAAAUUUAUGAAGUCUAUGUUUAUAAAGUUUAGACAUAGUUUAUUUGAGUA